rnacentral:rRNA from 1 species
UCUUGGUUCAGGAUGAACGCUAGCGACAGGCUUAACACAUGCAAGUCGAGGGCAGCAUAAAAGUAGCAAUACUUGGUGGCGACCGGCGCACGGGUGAGUAACGCGUAUGCAACCUACCUAUCAGAGGGGAAUAACCCGGCGAAAGUCGGACUAAUACCGCAUAAAACAGGGGCACCGCAUGGUGAUAUUUGUUAAAGAAAUUCGCUGAUAGAUGGGCAUGCGUUCCAUUAGGUAGUUGGUGAGGUAACGGCUCACCAAGCCGACGAUGGAUAGGGGAACUGAGAGGUUGGUCCCCCACACUGGUACUGAGACACGGACCAGACUCCUACGGGAGGCAGCAGUGAGGAAUAUUGGUCAAUGGGCGGGAGCCUGAACCAGCCAAGUCGCGUGAAGGAAGAAGGAUCUAUGGUUCGUAAACUUCUUUUGCAGGGGAAUAAAGUGCAGGACGUGUCCUGUUUUGUAUGUACCCUGAGAAUAAGGAUCGGCUAACUCCGUGCCAGCCGCCGC